GAUGAACGCUGGCGGCGUGCCUAAUACAUGCAAGUAGAACGCUGAAGGAGGAGCUUGCUCUUCUGGAUGAGUUGCGAACGGGUGAGUAACGCGUAGGUAACCUGCCUGGUAGCGGGGGAUAACUAUUGGAAACGAUAGCUAAUACCGCAUGACAACAGUUAUUGCAUGAUAACUGUUUAAAAGGGGCAACUGCUCCACUACCAGAUGGACCUGCGUUGUAUUAGCUAGUUGGUGAGGUGACGGCUCACCAAGGCGACGAUACAUAGCCGACCUGAGAGGGUGAUCGGCCACACUGGGACUGAGACACGGCCCAGACUCCUACGGGAGGCAGCAGUAGGGAAUCUUCGGCAAUGGACGGAAGUCUGACCGAGCAACGCCGCGUGAGUGAAGAAGGUUGUCGGAUCGUAAAGCUCUGUUGUAAGAGAAGAACGAGUGUGAGAGUGGAAAGUUCACACUGUGACGGUAUCUUACCAGAAAGGGACGGCUAACUACGUG
rnacentral:rRNA from 1 species